GUCCGAACUGCGUGUCAUCCACGUAGCCGACGGCGAUGACCGAUGACGCGGGGCUCCCCGACGCCGGGCCGGGACACGGCGAGGCCAUUUCCCUCCUGACCACACACUCACCCGCCCGGGUCUGGGUCAGGGGCAGGGUCCCGGAGAGCAACAAGAGGAGGAUCUGGGAAGCCAUUAGCAUGAUCACUGGAGUCUGGGGAGAUGGAGUUCCAGUGGGCCCCUGAGGACCUGAUAACCAGGAUCGGAGGAGACACUGAUUGGCUACUGCAGAAACCUAUCAAUGAAAGUGAGAACUGUUGUCCUGUCCUGUGCCCAGGCAGAAAGAACUGAAACAGGUUGUGAGGGGGAGAAGUGAAACUCUGGGGAGACCAGGAAUCCCCAGCGCUUGGCUUUCUCACGUCAGACACCGCCCUAGGGGCCUGAGAGCCAAGCCCGGGUGCAAGGAGUUUGUCCUGACGCCUCUCCUCAGGUAAGGACCACUCUUUCUCAGAGGGGCUCCCUGAGUCCUACUCUGGGCUGUCAGAGGAAACCUGGGACAGAACCCCAGACUGGGGCCAGCCCUUCUUCUCCUCUUCCCUUCUUGGAAUGCCUUUCGCUGAACUGGACUCUCUACCUUCCACCUCUUGUUUCCCCCCUCCCCCCACCCCGACUUCUCGAAAAUAAAAUUCACCCUCAAAGAUUUUGAUGCCACAGAGUGAGCUCACCUUACCAAUGAAGGUGAAAGGACAGGGGUCUCCUCUUUAAACCUAGACGAGGCUGUGUCUGAAGACACCAGAUAGAUACUCCCACAGAGGCAAGUUUCCUUUUUAUUAACAGCAGUGGCUAGCUCAACUCUGAUAACCCCAAACCAUCAGGAAUUUAACCUGUAAGAGAAGGGAUUUUGUCCAUUCAUGUAUAAAUGUGUCUGAAAAGCUCUGCAGUCAGGCUCACAGAGUUCUGAAGUUUGACUUUCCCAAACAAUGUAUCUAUGACUCCUGGGUUAGUGUUUAUUAAAAUUAUCUUCAUUUCAUAGCUCUGAGUUUGUCUGAGUGCCACGUCUAUCUUCAAUACAAAGCAGCUCAUGAAAGCACAAUUUGUUACUGUAUAUUUUAACCAGAAGAGUGUGGGAACU